GGUAAUCCAGAAGGGGUGCAGUAUUAUAAUAACUUGAUCAAUGAACUCAAGAAAUAUUGAAUUGAACCUCAUGUCACUCUUCUUCACUUUGACCUCCCCCAAUCUUUGGAAGAUGAAUAUUCUGGACUCUUGAGCCCAAAGAUUGUAGAGGACUUCACUGCUUAUGCUGAUGUGUGCUUUAGAGAGUUUGGGGA